AUCGCUUUGGGCCCUUUUGGCUAGAUCAAAGUGUAGUAUCUGUUUUUUAUCGCUUAAUAUCGAUCGAUCCCAUGGGGAUCUACGAUUUUAAAAUGAUUUUUUGGAAAAUGGCGAAGUGUAGGGUUUGCUCCCCCUUUCCCGGGGAUCGGCCGUAUGCAGUCCCUCCGGUUUGGUCCCACUCCCC